rnacentral:rRNA from 1 species
AAUUAACGCUGGCGGCGUGCCUAACACAUGCAAGUCGAGCGAGAAAGUUCCUUCGGGUAUGUGUAAAGCGGCGGACGGGUGAGUAACGCGUGAGAAUCUGCCCUUUAGUGGAGAAUACCCUCGAGAAAUCGAGGCUAAUACUGCAUACGUCCCUUCGGGGAGAAAGAUGGCCUCUUUGCUAUCGCUAAAGGAUGAGCUUGCGUACUAUUAGCUAGUUGGUGAGGUAAUGGCUCACCAAGGCGAUGAUGGUUAGCCGGCCUGAGAGGGUGUACGGCCACACUGGAACUUAGACACGGUCCAGACUCCUACGGGUGGCAG